CUAAACUCUUCUUACUUGUGGCCAUUUUUCACAAUUUAUGAAUUGAAGCAAAAUAUGCGACUACGUAGUGGCAAAGUAAGUCGGUCCGAGGCUGCAACAAUUACUGAUUUCGACAAAUGGUUGUCACAAGUUGGCGAUGGAUCAGUUUAUGAUGAUAUUAACAAGGAGCUUAUUAAAAUAUCUCCGGAUGUACGCAUCAAAGCGUCUAACAAUCCAAUAUGUUCGAUUGUUGAGGCAGUUUAUCCGUCCCUUUUGCAGAAUUACAACGACCCAACAUAGUUAAAAGAAAGAGCAAUACUGACGCCAAAAAAUGAAAUGGAGCAUGAGUUGAACGAGACAAUUAUGCAUAUGAUACCGGUUGAAGGAACAACAUAUUUUAGCUCGGACAAUGUAUGCAAAGCAAGCGUGAACACAAACGAUGAAGAAAUUUUGUACCCAACCAAAUUUCUUAACAACUUAAUAUUCCCUGGGAUCCCUAACCAUGACAUACACUUAAAAAUAGGCACUCCGGUUAUGCUGAUUAGAAAUCUAAACCAAACAGAAGGCCUAUGCAAUGGAACAAAAUUGAUUGUCACGCAUCUUGGUAUAUGGUCUAUCACUGCUAACAUCAUUUCAGGGAAGAACAUUGGCUCGAGAGUCACAAUUCCAAGAAUUAUUAUGUCUCCAAAUGAAUCAAAAUGGUUGUUCAAGCUUAAGAGACGCCAGCUUCCUUUAGCCCCCAGUUACGCUAUGACAAUAAAUAAAAGUCAAGGACAAUCUCUUAACCAAGUCAGGGUGUAUCAUCCGAAGCAUGUGUUCACCCAUGGACAAUUAUAUGAAGCUGUCUCCCAAGCUACAACAAGAGCAGGAUUAAGAAUAUUGAAUGCUGACGAUGACACGGAAGACCCUUCGUUCAUCAAAAAUAUUGUAUACAAGGAAGUAUUCCAGAAUGUAUGUUCGAGAGAUGAAGAAAUCGAGAUAACUAUGCAUACAAAUGAUGAUACAUAAUGGAGAUGAAACGCCAACGCCGAUAAGCAUACCAACAUAUGGUAUACAUUCCUGUUAUUCCGACAAAGAACCUAUAUUCUAAUCUCUUAAUCUUGGCGAUAAUUUUAUUCGGCUUACCAAUAGGUUUUCUAUAGCUUACAGGAUACUAAUGAUUUCAAAAUCCAGAGUAGAUCGUAAUUAGCCCAAAUUAUUGUACAGAUUUGAGUGGUAUUGCUAAGUAUUACACUACCAUGAGGAGCUUCUUUUAUCUACUCAUUUAGGCAGAUAUGAUUUCUGAAUAAAAGAGACACACACAAUGAAUGGCUUUUGGCAUUUACUCUGUGCGUCACUUCUAAUAAUAUGAAAUUGUGAAAUCUAUGUUUUAUCCUUUUGAAGAAUGUAGUCAAAACUAAGCUAAAUGAAGAUAUCCCAAAGAUACAGUGAUAGACAGGCUUUUGACAAGUAAACACAUUGAUUAAAUGUAGUUAUCCUAAAGUUCCAGUAAUAGACAGGCUUUUGACAAGUAAUGUAAAUAUGUGAUCACUGGUAGUUUGAUAAAAUGAGGUUGCGACUUAUCCCCGAAUUUGAUUGAUGCUUUGUUGGGCUUAACGGCCCAAAGAUACUCUUAAAAUGAUGUGAUAUUGUCCGCUUUGAGCCAAGCUCGCACGGUUUUCCCUAAAAGGCCUCACAUCAUUAAGAGUAUCUAACUCCUUAUAAGUAGAGCUCAUUUUUCUUUCCAGCUACCAACGUGGUAUUUUGUUCGCACACCCAAUAAUCUCCCCCUCGAACUAAGUUCCACAUGACUCAUUACGGGUUAGAGAUUCAACGUGUCAAUGUGUUACCCACAUCAUCAGAGUAUUUACGGUCACCGAAGCCUAAAGGCUGUGUAUGCGUCUUCAAAGUUACAGGUAAAGGUUGUAAACCGGCCCAUAGACGGGCAAAGGCACUAAGCCGGGCCCCACACCACACUUCGCUAUCUUCAUACUCGUCCCGCCAAACCAAAGGCUGUGUAUGCGUCUUCAAAGCUUGGGCUUAACGGCCCAAAGAUACUCUUAACAUGAUAUGAUAUUGUCCGCUUUGGGCCAAGCCUACACGGUUUUUCCUAAAAGGCCUCACAUCAUUAAGAGUAUCUAACUCCUUAUAAGUAGCUCCUUUUUCUUUCCAGCUAUCAAUGUGGUACUUUGUAAGCACACCCAACAAAUUGGACAAUCCUACUAUUAAAGGACUAGGAUAUAGACCUCUUCUCUUGCAUAAUGUGUCAUGAUCUGUGCAAUCCUGCAAGAAAUGAAUCAAAAUAAAUUUACAAUUAGAAUAUAUGGAUCACAUACAUUGAAAUUGUAGGAAACCGAUGCGUCAUUAUGUGGAUGGUGUAGUUACUAAACAUUAUAUCUCACAGUCAAUGUUUCAGAUGGUCAAGUUGGGCUAUCCUUGGCAGGUUCUGUAAAACGGCCCGAGUAACCAUACGGGCAUCAACCACAUAGGGUUAUUACCAAAUGAGUGGUAUUUUCACCUCGGACAUGCAGUACUCAUUGGAUUGUUGGCUCAUGCACUCACAACAAUUUCUUUAGGUUAUGUUUGUUCACAAAUACAGUGAUGGGAUGGUUCUUGGUUCGGUGCUUCCUUAUUUCAUCCUCCUAUUUUAUGCUGGUUGUAGUCAUGAUCUAUAUCCAACACUUAACUCAAGCAUAGACGGAGCCAGAAAUGAUCUGAAGUAUAUCGGUUUAAUGAAAUUCUUAGUCAGAAUAUGUGGCAAUUUUUUUAUCACUACCCCCUUUCAGGGCUCAAAGACGGUAGAUAGAAGGGCUAUAAAAUUCCACAAGGUGGCCUUUUCAUUAUGGUCAUAUGUCGUCAUUAUCAUUUCGAAAUUCUAGGUUGUCGAGGGAUUUCAUUCAUUGCGCAGACACUGUUUUCGUUUUGCUGUGCCGUAGGUGUAGCUUUAUAUCUGAUGGGAAGGAGCUAUGUUACUAGGACAUGGUACCUUUGAAAUUUUGAAUAUUUUCGUAACAAUGUAAAGGCUCUGAUUCAUUUUGUUUUCAAGAAAAUGCAUUUUGCAAGUGCUCCUUUUUAUCCCAAUUCUGUCCCAUAGAAUUUGUU